rnacentral:rRNA from 1 species
CCUACGGGAGGCAGCGGUGGGGAAUUGUUCGCAAUGGGCGCAAGCCUGACGACGCAACGCCGCGUGGAGGAUGAAGAAUUUCGGUUCGUAAACUCCUUUCGAUCGGGAAGAACAGCUCUUGAGUUAAUAGCUUGGGAGUCUGACGGUACCGAGAGAAGAAGCCCCGGCUAACUCUGUGCCAGCAGCCGCGGUAAUACAGGGGGGGCAAGCGUUGUUCGGAAUUACUGGGCGUAAAGGGCUCGUAGGCGGCCAACUAAGUCCGACGUGAAAUCCCAAAGCUUAACUUUGGAACUGCGUCGGAUACUGGAUGGCUUGAAUUCGGGAGAGGGAUGCAGAAUUCCAGGUGUAGCGGUGAAAUGCGUAGAUAUCUGGAGGAAUACCGGUGGCGAAGGCGGCAUCCUGGACCGACAUUGACGCUGAGGAGCGAAAGCUAGGGGAGCAAACGGGAUUAGAUACCCCGGUAGUCCUAGCCCUAAACGAUGAAUGCUUGGUGUGGCGGGUAUCGAUCCUCGCGUGCGAGACUACGACAUAGCAUCCGUCCGUCGGGUAGGUACGGUCGGCGACGGCGUAGUAACGUUACGAAGUAGUUAAGUUAGUACGGCGUUGAGACGNGCCGACGGACGACGACGAGGGAGGAGG